rnacentral:rRNA from 1 species
UACGGGAGGUGCAAGCGUUAUCCGGAAUCAUUGGGCGUAAAGCGUCCGCAGGUGGCUUUUUAAGUUGGGUAUUAAAUAUGACGGCUUAACCGUUAAAGUGUGCCCAAAACUGAAAAGCUAGAGGGAGGUAGAGGUAAGCGGAAUCCUACAUGUAGGGGUAAAAUCCGUUGAUAUGUAGAAGAACACCAAAAGCGAAAGCAGCUUACCGGACCAACCCUGACACUCAGGGACGAAAGCGUGGGGAGCAAACGGG